GAUGAACGCUAGCGGCGGGCUUAAUACAUGCAAGUCAAGGGGUAGCAAUACACCGGCGUACGGGUGCGUAACGCGUAUGGAACCUGCCCUUAUCUGGGGGAUAACUCGGGGAAACUCGAGCUAAUACCGCAUAAGAUAGUAGAAUGGCAUCAUUCAGCUAUUAAAGAUUUAUCGGAUAAGGAUGGCCAUGCGUAAGAUUAGAUAGUUGGUGGGGUAACGGCUCACCAAGUCUACGAUCUUUAGGGGCUCUGAGAGGAGAAUCCCCCACACUGGCACUGGGAUACAGGCCAGACUCCUACGGGAAGGCAGCAGUAGGGAAUAUUGGGCAAUGGGCGGAAGCCUGACCCAGCCACGCCGCGUGCAGGAAGAAGGCCCUCUGGGUUGUAAACUGCUUUUGAUUGGGAAGAAAGCAUCUCAUGCGUGGGAUUUUGACGGUACCAAUCGAAUAAGCCACGGCUAACUACGUGCCAGCCGCCGCGGUAAAAC
rnacentral:rRNA from 1 species